rnacentral:rRNA from 1 species
UACAGAGGGGCGAAGACGUUAUUCGGUAAGUUAAUUUGGGUCGGUAAAGGGACGGCGUAGGCGGCCGUCGUAAGUACGAAGGUGAAAUACCCCGACGCUUAACUACGGGAACGUGCCUUCGAUACUGCUUGGCUUGAGUCCGGGAGGGGAGAGCGGAAUUCCCACGUGUAGCGGUGAAAUGCGUAGAUAUUGGGAGGAACAUCGGUGGCGAAGGCGGCUCUCUGGACCGGUUCUGACGCUGAGGCGCG